AGGGGUAUAGUUCUUCGGAACUAGAGACCGGCGCACGGGUGCGUAACGCGUAUGCAAUCUACCUUUUACAGGGGAAUAGCCCAGAGAAAUUUGGAUUAAUGCCCCAUAGUAUAAUUUAUUCGCAUGAGUAGAUUAUUAAAGUUCCAACGGUAAAAGAUGAGCAUGCGUCCCAUUAGCUAGAUGGUAAGGUAACGGCUUACCAUGGCGACGAUGGGUAGGGGUCCUGAGAGGGAGAUCCCCCACACUGGUACUGAGACACGGACCAGACUCCUACGGGAGGCAGCAGUGAGGAAUAUUGGUCAAUGGACGCAAGUCUGAACCAGCCAUGCCGCGUGCAGGAUGACGGUCCUAUGGAUUGUAAACUGCUUUUGUACGAGAAGAAACACUCCUUCGUGAAGGAGCUUGACGGUAUCGUAAGAAUAAGGAUCGGCUAACUCCGUGCCAGCAGCCGCGGUGAUACGGAGGAUCCAAGCGUUAUCCGGAAUCAUUGGGGUUUAAAGGGUCCGUAGGCGGUCAGAUAAGUCAGUGGGUGAAAAGCCCAUCGCUCAACGGUGGGAACGGCCAUUGAUACUGUUUGACUUGAAUUAUUAGGAAGUAACUA
rnacentral:rRNA from 1 species